AAUUAGCCCUGAUGGAAGCGGCAUCCUUUUUUGUUUAGAUACUUCGACAAGCUCAGUAUGACAAACAAAAAAGAUAUAGCGUACAGCAGGAUUGGCU
rnacentral:sRNA from 2 species